ACGUAGGAGACAAACGUUAUCCGGAGUUACUGGGCGUAAAGGGCGUGUAGGUGGUUGCGUAAGUCUGGCGUGAAAUUUUUCGGCUUAACCGGGAAAGGUCGUCGGAUACUGCGUAACUAGAGGACGGUAGAGGCGUGUGGAAUUCCGGGUGUAGUGGUGAAAUGCGUAGAGAUCGUGGAGACACCAGUGGCGAAGGCGAC
rnacentral:rRNA from 1 species